ACCUGGCUGGCUCAGUUGGUAAAGCAUGGGACUCUUGAUCUCAGGGUUGUGAGUUCAAGCCCCACGUUGGGUG
rfam:Ailuropoda melanoleuca scaffold2134_30, whole genome shotgun sequence.